rnacentral:rRNA from 1 species
CCAGCAGCCGCGGUAAUUCCAGCUCCAAUAGCGUAUAUUAAAGUUGUUGCAGUUAAAAAGCUCGUAGUUGGAUUUUGGUUGUAGUCCAGCGGUCCGCCUCACAGCGGUACUGCUGGGCUCUUCCUUCUUCUCGUUGACCACGGGUGCUCUUAAUUGAGUGUCCGUGUUAGGCGGGACUUUUACUGUGAGAAAAUUAGAGUGUUCAAAGCAGGCGUUUGCUUGAAUAUUACAGCAUGGAAUAAUGGAAUAGGAUCACGAUCUUAUUUUGUUGGUUUCUAGGAUCGAGAUAAUGAUUAAUAGGGACAGUUGGGGGCAUUAAUAUUUAGAAGUCAGAGGUGAAAUUCUUGGAUUUUCUGAAGAUUAACUUCUGC